CACCCGACCAAUCGACCACCCGACCACCCGACCAAUCCACCAUCCGACCAAUCCACCACCCGACCAAUCCACCACCCGACCAAUCCACCAUCCGACCAAUCGAUCAAUCCACCUCGAUCAUCCCUACCAAUGGACCACCCCUCAUCCCCUAUUAUAAUACCUCCAUGCCCCUACGGCUCUGCUAUUCAGUGCAAUUGAUUCCGGGACUACUUUUUAUAUUUUUUAUUUUUUUAUUUUUAUUUUUUACUGCGCUACUUUUGACGGGGGAUUCUACACUCCUUCCAAGAUGUUUUACAAUUUACAAUUUUUUUAAGGAUAUUUGAUUGACGGGACGCAAUAGCAUUGGCCAGCAUCACCAUGGCAAUGACGGCAUGAAAGAGGCUUGGCACCUCCAGCACAUAUCGUUUAAGAUAUGUUUCAAAUCAGUUGAAAAAAAUUUUUUCUACCACUUACAAUGUAUUUCUUUUUGUUUUGUAGAUUAUGAUUGCAUUAGGUUACCAAAUCUUGGUAACUCAUGUUUUUUUAAAUGUGGCAUUGCAGGCCCUCCGUGCCACCCCUGGGGUUUUUAAUGCCACUCGUGCCCACACUCAGUGUUUUGAAGAAUGUAAAAUCCAGUGUGUGAUAAACAUGUGUAAAGAAACCUUUCGUAAGAAGCCAGAAGAGCUUUACAACAAUCUUGGACUGGGAGAUGGAGGCCAUCAUAAACUUCUUGUAGGAUGAGUUGCCGCAGACAGAGAUGAAAACCAUGACGAAUGUCCGUGAGCCAGAGGUGGGUCUGAAAUUUGACAAAUGGUCAGCCUUAUUGACGGUAUCUCUUCAUGAAAGUACAGCACAUAACAGACGAGAAACUUGAAGCGAAUUGGGUUAAACUGACCGGCUGCAACCAAAUACAGUGCCCAGAGAUGAUUUUGAAUCACUUCAUGCAUUGUCCUGUGGAUAGUCAUGAAACAAUAAGACCUACGUACAGAGAUGGGUACAUUUUCAGGCAUAUGGAAUAAUUUGUGCUCAGAGGAACGCAGUGGCACAACGUUUGAGCAUCAACAUUGUGAUCGGGAGGUCCUGGGUUCGAUACCCCGCAUGUGCCACUUUGUAACUCUUACCUUCUGGAUAGGCUGGAUAAUGAAAGCUCUUUUAAAGCGCCAUAUAAAUCUCCUUGUUAUUACUGUUAUUUGGGCUGAUUUUGUUGGGAAACACGAAAAUAUGUCACUUGAUUGUCCACUGCAUUCUUAUUACAGCUGGGUAAUAUUGCCCUUUACCCCUUGCCUCCCUAGAGGGGACGAUAUAUCGUCCCUGUAUUUUGUCUCGCGUAGGAGGUACGAUAUAUCGUCCCUAUACUAAUGCUUUAGUAUAGAACUCUUGGUACAUGUUAGAUGCUAUUGUACAGUGUAUUCGUGUCCCUGGUGAUCUGCGGAAGACUAGAUUUAGUUUCAUUCAUAGUUUGCAGAGAGCGCUGCAGUUUGAUUGGCGCUUGUGCAGCGUCACAGUACAAGAACUCAUUAGCAUAUAAAUUAAUAUUAUGUUGUAUUAUUCGAUCAAUCAGUAAUAUACAAUAGUCAAAGGUUAUCAAUCAAGUUACGUUGAUCAUUAACAUGUUGUAACUGCAUCAAUUACAGUUCCAUAUACUUUGUUCAAAUCAGAAAAAUCAAUUAGAGCAAAAUCAAUCAAAAAAUAUUGAUUAUUACUGAUUAUUGAUUACCUCUUACCCAAUUGAUACCCAGAAAAUACGCCAAUUGAUAGCCAAGGUAAUCAGCUUUACAAAAAUGUAUGGUUUGAGUAAUCUUGGAAAGUUUUGAAAAAUGGCGUCCAUAAGUACAUUUACAUUCUUCGCUCGUGCCUCAUCUCAACUAGAGCCCUUUGACGAGAGAUAAUGGCUUUUUCUGGCAUUUAUCUGAAAAACUUGUUAUAUAUGAGAGUAGUAGACAGAUCAAGUUGUUUGAAAUGACUGACAUGAUUUUUAAAAAAAGCCCUUGUCCUGCAAUUGCCACCGUGAUAGUGUAUCUCAAGUGCCCCACCCACAUAUGUACAAAUGAUAAUCAUGUUUGGCAAAAUUAAAUGUGUGGUGAAUAUUGAAAGUUCAAGUGUGAACACAUUAUGUAAAAGUGUGGAAUUACACAGCGAGAACUGUAUAAUCCCAGUAAAUGAUUUUUAUACAUAUUGAAGUCAUGAAGACUGUGAGUGUGAAUUUUAUCCUGAUACUUAAAGGCAGAAAGGGAAUUGAAGAUAGUGACAAAAAUGGUAUUUUUUCCUAAUGUUAAGUCGGGAUCGUGGGAUUAUUGAUUUCUGCCCGUUUCUAGUAUGGUGAGGAUGUAUUAAUUGGUCAUUUGUUUUGAUGCAUGAAUGAAGUAACCCGGAUCGCAAUUAUUGAAAAAUUUGUGUAGAACUUCAUUUGUAGUAGAGUGUGUAUAUCUGUUACUUCUAAUGAUUUUAAAGUCUUGAAUAAGGGUUUGGUGUGGGCAAUGAGCAGAGCAGAUAAUGAUAAUUAAAUGACCUGAAAUCUA